CUUUUAACUAUGUACAGUGGUGCCCUGCAAGAUGAAUGCCUCGCAAGACGAAAAACUCGCUAGACGAAAGGGUUUUCCGUUUUUUGAGUCGUUCCGCAAGACGAAUUUCCCUAUGGGCUUGCUUCGCAAGACGAAACAUCUUGCGAGUUCUUGCGAGUUUGUUUCCUUUUUCUUAAAGCCGCUAAGCCGUUAAUAGCCGCUAAGCCGCUAAUAGCCGCUAAGCCGCUAAUAGCCGCUAAUAGCCGCUAAGCCGCUAAUAGCCGUGCUUCGCAAGACGAAAAAACCGCAAGACGAAGAGACUCGCGGAACGGAUUAAUUUCGUCUUGCGAGGCACCACUGUAU